rnacentral:rRNA from 1 species
GGGUAGGGGGCGUGAGAGCGUGAUCCCCCACACUGGCACUGAGAUACGGGCCAGACUCCUACGGGAGGCAGCAGUGAGGAAUAUUGCCCAAUGGACGAAAGUCUGAGGCUGCAACGCCGCGUGAGCGAUGAAGGCCUUCGGGUUGUAAAGCUCUUUUCUGGGGGACGAGGAAGGACGGUACCUCAGGAAUAAGUCACGGCUAACUACGUGCCAGCAGCCGCGGUAAUACGUAGGUGGCGAGCGUUAUCCGGAUUUACUGGGCGUAAAGCGCGUGUAGGCGGUUUCGUAAGUCGGAUGUGAAAGCUCCUGGCUCAACUGGGAGAGGCCAUUCGAUACUGCGGGACUUGAGGUCGGGAGAGGGACGUGGAAUUCCCGGUGUAGUGGUGGAAUGCGUAGAUAUCGGGAGGAACACCAGUGGCGAAGGCGGCGUCCUGGCCCGCACCUGACGCUAAGACGCGAAAGCGUGGGUAGCGAACGGGAUUAGAUACCCCGGUAGUCCACGCCGUAAACGGUGGAUACUAGGUGUUGGUGGCUAUCGUCAUCAGUGCCGUAGCUAACGCGUUAAGUAUCCCGCCUGGGGACUACGGCCGCAAGGCUAAAACUCAAAGGAAUUGACGGGGGCCCGCACAAGCAGCGGAGCGUGUGGUUUAAUUCGAGGCAACACGAAGAACCUUACCUGGGUUUGACAUGUACGUAGUAGUGAAGCGAAAGUGGAACGAUCCUUCGGGAAGCGUACACAGGUGCUGCAUGGCUGUCGUCAGCUCGUGCCGUGAGGUGUUCGGUUAAGUCCGGUAACGAGCGCAACCCUUGCUGUUAGUUACAAGUGUCUAACGGGACUGCCGGUUUAAUGCCGGAGGAAGGUGGGGAUGACGUCAAGUCAGCAUGGCCUUUAUGUCCAGGGCUACACACACGCUACAAUGGCCGGUACAAUGGGUUGCCAAGCCGCGAGGUGGAGCUAAUCCUCCAAAGCCGGUCUCAGUUCGGAUUGUAGGCUGCAACUCGCCUGCAUGAAGUCGGAGUUGCUAGUAACCGCAGGUCAGCUACACUGCGGUGAAUACGUUCCCGGGCCUUGUACACACCGCCCGUCACGUCAUGGGAGUUGGUAACACCUGAAGCCAGUGGGCUAACCGUAAGGGGGCAGCUGUCGAAGGUGGGACUGGUGACUGGGACGAAGUCGUAACAAGGUAGCCGUAC